GACGAACCGUGCGAACGUUGUUCGGAAUAACUGGGCUUAAAGGGAGCGUAGGCGGGCUAACAAGUCUGGGGUGAAAUCCCCGCGGCUCAACCGUGGAACUGCCUUAGAUACUGUCGGCCUCGAGGGAGAUAGGGGCAUGCGGAACUAACGGUGGAGCGGUGAAAUGCGUUGAUAUCGUUAGGAACUCCGGUGGCGAAAGCGGCGUGCUGGAUCUCUUCUGACGCUGAGGCUCGAAAGCUAGGGGAGCAAACGGG
rnacentral:rRNA from 1 species